UGUGAGAUAUUCCCCAACGGUGGAAGGAGAGUAAAACAGUUUGGGAAUCCCCGAAACCCCGACCUGGAAAAUAUUGUUUUCCACAUAAGGACGACGUCUAGUCCGACAAAUGUGUUGGUUUGUAAAAUAGGGCUUUCCUUCUUUUUACUGAAGACAAGGACACCAGGUUUGUAAUAGGGCUUUCCUUCUUGUUACUGAAGACAAGGACACCAGGUUUGUAAUAGGGCUUUCCUUCUUGUUACUGAAGAAAAUGACACCAGGUUUGUAAUAGGGCUUUCCAUCUUGUUACUGAAGAAAAUGACACCAGGUUUGUAAUAGGGCUUUCCUUCUUGUUACUGAAGAAAAUGACACCAGGUUUGUAAUAGGGCUUUCCUUCUUGUUACUGAAGAAAAUGACACCAGGUUUGUAAUAGGGCUUUCCAUCUUGUUACUGAAGAAAAUGACACCAGGUUUGUAAUAGGGCUUUCCAUCUUGUUACUGAAGAAAAUGACACCAGGUUUGUAAUAGGGCUUUCCAUCUUGUUACUGAAGAAAAUGACACCAGGUUUGUAAUAGGGCUUUCCAUCUUGUUACUGAAGAAAAUGACACCAGGUUUGUAAUAGGGCUUUCCAUCUUGUUACUGAAGAAAAUGACACCAGGUUUGUAAUAGGGCUUUCCAUCUUGUUACUGAAGAAAAUGACACCAGGUUUGUAAUAGGGCUUUCCAUCUUGUUACUGAAGAAAAUGACACCAGGUUUGUAAUAGGGCUUUCCAUCUUGUUACUGAAGAAAAUGACACCAGGUUUGUAAUAGGGCUUUCCUUCUUGUUACUGAAGAAAAUGACACCAGGUUUGUAAUAGGGCUUUCCAUCUUGUUACUGAAGACAAGGACACCAGGUUUGUAAUAGGGCUUUCCAUCUUGUUACUGAAGACAAGGACACCAGGUUUGUAAUAGGGCUUUCCAUCUUUUUACUGAAGACAAGGACACCAUGUUUGUAAUAGGGCUUUCCAUCUUGUUACUGAAGAAAAUGACACCAGGUUUGUAAUAGGGCUUUCCAUCUUUUUACUGAAGACAAGGACACCAGGUUUGUAAUAGGGCUUUCCAUCUUGUUACUGAAGACAAGGACACCAGGUUUGUAAUAGGGCUUUCCAUCUUGUUACUGAAGAAAAUGACACCAGGUUUGUAAUAGGGCUUUCCAUCUUGUUACUGAAGACAAUGACACCAGGUUUGUAAUAGGGCUUUCCAUCUUGUUACUGAAGACAAGGACACCAGGUUUGUAAUAGGGCUUUCCAUCUUGUUACUGAAGACAAUGACACCAGGUUUGUAAUAGGGCUUUCCAUCUUGUUACUGAAGACAAUGACACCAGGUUUGUAAUAGGGCUUUCCAUCUUGUUACUGAAGACAAUGACACCAGGUUUGUAAUAGGGCUUUCCAUCUUGUUACUGAAGACAAUGACACCAGGUUUGUAAUAGGGCUUUCCAUCUUGUUACUGAAGACAAGGACACCAGGUUUGUAAUAGGGCUUUCCAUCUUGUUACUGAAGACAAUGACACCAGGUUUGUAAUAGGGCUUUCCAUCUUGUUACUGAAGACAAGGACACCAGGUUUGUAAUAGGGCUUUCCAUCUUGUUACUGAAGACAAUGACACCAGGUUUGUAAUAGGGCUUUCCAUCUUGUUACUGAAGACAAUGACACCAGGUUUGUAAUAGGGCUUUCCAUCUUGUUACUGAAGACAAUGACACCAGGUUUGUAAUAGGGCUUUCCAUCUUGUUACUGAAGACAAUGACACCAGGUUUGUAAUAGGGCUUUCCAUCUUUUACUGAAGACAAUGACACCAGGUUUGUAAUAGGGCUUUCCAUCUUUUACUGAAGACAAUGACACCAGGUUUGUAAUAGGGCUUUCCAUCUUGUUACUGAAGACAAUGACACCAGGUUUGUAAUAGGGCUUUCCAUCUUGUUACUGAAGACAAUGACACCAGGUUUGU